AGGGAAUGGUGAAAAGUACCCCGUGAGGGGAGUGAAAUAGUGCCUGAAACCGGGCGCCUACAAUCCGUCAGAGCCUUUUUAAAUGGGGGUGAUGGCGUGCCUUUUGAAGAAUGAGCCUGCGAGUUAGUGGCAUGUGGCGAGGUUAACCCGUGGGGGGUAGCCGUAGCGAAAGCGAGUCUGAAGAGGGCGUUUUUAGUUGCAUGUUCUAGACCCGAAGCGGGGUGAUCUACCCAUGGCCAGGUUGAAGCACGUGUAAGAGCGUGUGGAGGACCGAACCCACUUCAGUUGAAAAUGGAGGGGAUGAGUUGUGGGUAGGGGUGAAAGGCCAAUCAAACUCCGUGAUAGCUGGUUCUCCCCGAAAUGCCAUUUACGGUGCAGCGUUUGUGUGGUUCCUUGCGGAGGUUAAGGGUACCCAUUUAGCCUAUCCUAG
rnacentral:rRNA from 1 species